AACGAAGGGGGCUAGCGUUGCUCGGAAUUACUGGGCGUAAAGGGCGCGUAGGCGGAUAGUUUAGUCAGAGGUAAAAGCCCAGGGCUCAACCUUGGAACUGCCUUUGAUACUGGCUAUCUUGAGUUCGGGAGAGGUGAGUGGAAUGCCGAGUGUAGAGGUGAAAUUCGUAGAUAUUCGGCGGAACACCAGUGGCGAAGGCGACUCACUGGCCCGAUACUGACGCUGAGGCGCGAAAGCGUGGGGAGCAAACAGG
rnacentral:rRNA from 1 species